ensembl:lncRNA
CCUCACACCUCUAGUGUCCGGGGUUCGAUUACACCGUGGCCCUGUGUGUGUGGAGUCUGCGUGUUCUCCCCGUGCUGCGGGGGUUUCCUCCGGGUUCUCCGGUUUCCUCCCCCAGUCCAAAGACAUGCAUGGUAGGCUGAAAAAAAGAAAGAAAAAAACGUCUUGGUAAGUAUUAACACUUGGAAUAUAGUCAAUAUACAGUAUCCAGUAUUUCUUACAAUGUAGUAUAAGAUUAGUAAACCUGUUUCAAGCCAUUCGGACUCACUUCAAGCUUGAAAUAGUCUUUUUGAUGAUGAAUUUUUGAUCAUUUUAACUAGUUACUCGUAUGAAGAAGCAAAAUUAUCUGCCAAUAGACUAAGAAAACUACAAGCCUGAAAUGAGUAAUAAUGUCCAGAAAUGAGUUUAAUUAUCUUUUAUUUGUUUUUUUUGUUUUUUGUAAUCUUAUCAUACAAAGUACUAGAUAAACUAAAAUAUUCAAGAUAUUUUCACUUGAUAAGAUGACUUUUUAUUUAUUUAUUUUUUUUUUUGAAGUGCAGUGUUCUAACAUUAUCCGUGUAUAAAGUAGACAUCUUGUGAACAUGUUGUCAAUGCACUCGGUUUAAAAAUAAAUAAAUAAAAGAAGUAGCAUAAAUCAUAGACGUUGAUGAAUCGUAAACUGAUGCUGCUCACAUGACAAGGUGAAGACGUUCAAGCGUACAGUGAGGGGGGGCAUAAGCGUUCGGACAGUUGUAUUUGUUAUUUCAUUUGCUUCUAGUGCAUAGAUCCACUUCAGAUUUACACACAAUGUCUCUUGACUUUCAUAAAUAUGGACUUGCUUUUUUCUCAGUAUGUAUUCGUUGGCAUAAACGAACAUAUGGGUAAUAAAUGAAAUUGAUAAAGAGAAAAGUAUUCGGUAUUACCCGUCUUGGGUAAGACGUAAUUAGCUUUCUGCAGCAUGGUGGCUCAAUUUUUACCCAUUCCUCCUGGCAAACCAUUCAGUUCCACAAGGUUAUCAGGGUUCCUCUUGAUGCACUUGCAAUUUCAAAACCCUCCGUAAUUUUUCAACGGGAUUCAGGUCAGGACAUCGGGUAGGUCCCGCAAGGCCUUUUUGGGUAAUGUUGGCUGUAUGUUUGGGUUCAUUUCGUCUUGGCUGAUGAGAUUAAAUUCUCCUCUAAUAUCUCCCAGCACAUCACUCCAUUCCUGAUUUCUUUGAUGACGUGCAAUGCCCCAGUACCGUCAGUAGAGAAGCAGCACCAUAUCCACGAUGCCUCCGGCUCUGUACGUCGCUCUGGCUGUGAUGUUCUCGGGAUCAUCUGCACAACCGUUCUUUUCCAAAUUUCAGAACGUCACAAGAGCGAGC